UUUUCCAGCCUUAACUCUGGAAGAGGGUGUAUAUGACGGGGAAGUGUGCUGGGGAGAUGAUAUUUCCCAUAGGAUAGGUUAGGUAACAUUAUGCAGAGAAGCUGGUAGUGGUAAGCCGGAAGGCCAGGACAGCACCAGACCACGCUGUUAAGGACAGGUGCAGCUCGUUCCGCAGGUACAGCUUGUUAGGCAGUAGAUCUCUAGGGCAAUACCAAUGGCUGCCAUUUACGAGUGCUUAGUGUGCAGCGUGCACUGUGCUGAAGGCUCUCAAGCACUUCUCAGUGAAUCUUCACAAUAGCACCCUGAAGCAGAAUAUGCAUUAUUCUCUUUCUGCAGGUUACAUGUGGAGAUAACAAUUAGGCUCUUGCUGGCUGCAAAGGUUGAGCAACAACGAGGAUGAGACAGGAGAUGCUGGCACAGAGCUCUUUACCUACGGACACUAGCCAUUGCUCUCACCUUCCUCCCAAGGCCUGUAUCCCCCAGAGCUCAAGAUUCUCUGAGGCAGGAAGUGUCUGGGGACUCUGGCUAACUUAACAGAAAAGACCUGGAGAUGCUGACAUCAGAGACAAUAGCUUGGAAAAACGGAGGCCAUGCAGGAAGAAGAAAACUGGGGGGAAAAAAACUCAACCUUCUAUUAACAUUUUCAAAGAUCUAGGAGAAUAUUUUAUACCCAUGAAACAAGAAUACAGAUGCUAUGUUAAAAAAAAGAACAUUCAGAAAUGUAAAAGAGCUGCUCUUAGAAAUUAAAGAUAAUAUAGGAGAAAUUUUUAAAAGCUCAAUAGAAAUUUUAGAAAAUUCUGGAAAAAAAAGAAAAAGAAGCAGGAGAUGGAUAAUAGGAAACAACAGCAAUUCCAGAAAAGAGAGUACCAGAAAUAGACAGGAAGAAGUUAUCAAAGAAAUAAUUUUGAAAAUUGCCAGAACUGAGGGACAUGAGUUGCCAGACUAAAAGGAUCUGCUGAGUGCCACGAUGGAUUAAAGCACUAAGUCCAGUUACUGUAAACUUUCAGAGCACAUGGGACAAAGAAAAGAUUUCAAAAUCUUUCAAAGAAAACUCAAGUUUCAAACACAAAAAUAAGAUCCACGAUAGCACCAAACUUCUCUACAGGAUGGUUGGAAGCCCAAAGACAAUGAAGCAAUGUCUUAAAAACUCAAAGGAAUAGGAAUUGCAACCUAACCAAACCAGCAUAAAUUAGUGUGAGAAUAUAACAAUGAUCUUUUUAGGCACUCAACAUCUCGUAUACCCUUUUUAAAGAAGGUAAUGGCAGAUAUGACCUACCAAAAUAAGACAGUAAAUGAAGAAAGGUAAAAAACUGAAACCCAGCAAAAGGUAAUCCAACAUAAGAGACAGACAAAAGAAAUCCCCAGGAUGAAGAUGAAAGAAAAACCCAAGAUAACAGUUAUGCACCAAGCAUGGAGCAACCAACUCAAACUGGAGCCAAUUCAGAAGGCUCAAGGAGAGAUUUCUUCAACAUGAAAUUAAUAGCUACUUUCCUCCUCCUCCUUCUCCUCCUCCUGCUCCUCCUCCCCCCUAUUUUCCUUUCCCCUCUUUUUUUUCUUCUCUUUUUUCUUAUAAAGUGGUUCCUUUAACAUUUUUUGUCAUGUAACAUUUUUCCUUUAUUUCAAAAGCACUGUAAGAAAUAA
rnacentral:lncRNA from 10 species